GGAUGGCAGGCCAUCUGACUGGAACAUCUGUCCUCUCCUAGAUCGCCAGGUUAAUUUUUCUGAUCUGGCUGUCUAGGUGAGUGUUGCUUCCUCCCUUACUGCUCUGUGCUUAGUGGGAUAGAGGAAGACAAUUUCCUUGGUUAAGGAUAUAUGAGUAGCUGGACUCCCCUGAUAGAACCUGCCCAAGCUCUCAGGGUCAUUGGGAAGGGCUAAAGAGCUCAGUGUGUAGUUAUUUGUCUAGCAUUCCCAAAGCCCUGAGUUU
ensembl:misc_RNA 7SK 7SK RNA